GGCCCAGUGGUGUACUGGUAACACAUCCUCUUGUCUUAUCGCACUUUUUCCUCCAUUGGAGGCAGCACCCUGUUCGAUUCAGGGCUGGGCCG